rnacentral:lncRNA from 1 species
UCAAACGGAUAUAAGUGUACUUUGGAAAUCCACUAUUUCGUUUUUAAUUGAAACCUUAUUUUAUAAGAAGAACUAAUAAUUAUAAAGCCGAACUUAAUUUUUUUAAUUAUUAAUACCUCGAAUGAAAAAUAUGCAUACAUUUAAGUUAUAUAAUCGUGAAUAUUAUAAAACAAGGUUAAAAUACCUUUUUAGUCUCCAAGUUCGAAUCGAAAUUUUCGUUUUGUCCCCGGUUUCAAAAAUGAAGCCCUUUGGUCCCCAUAUUUUCAAUUUUGAAUGCAAUUAGUCCUUUCCGUUAAGUAGAUGCUAACGACGUUAACUUUUCUUCUCUCUCCUCUGCUAUUCCUGACACUUCUUUUUCUCUCUCCUAUUUCUCUUCUCUCUCACCGUUACAACAUCAUUAUAACAUAAAAUAAAAAAAAUAAAAAAAAAAACAAACCCAGGCCCAAUCCCCCUCUUCAGAAACCCUAGGGUUUCCUCACCCCAAACCCUCUAGGAGGUUCUCAUUCGAAGAGAACUCCAAACCCAUCCUCAGACUUCUCUCCCAAAAGACGUCCCCUCCAUCUUCCACCAGCCAAACCGCGACGCCGGAUGCCACCUCACGGUCACUGCGACACCACCAAAAGUGUCGCCAACGACCACCAUCUCAAUCGCCAAAGACGCCGCCAAAGCGUCCAUCUCGCCGGACCAGCACCGUCGCACCCCGAGACGCUUUCUCCCCACCGCCGACGAGAUCUAUUGCCCUCAAUGUCGUCCACAAUAACCCUUCUUCGUCGCGGCCAAAUCCCUUGAGGAUCACAUGGGAUUUUCCUCCUCUCUCCUUUGCACUUGCAAACGGGGAAAUCCCCUUCUUCUUCGAUUUCGGGGAAGCCACCGCCAACAAUAGUUCCCAACAAUAAGCCUCAGAGAAUGCCAUCUCCCAUUUUCUCGACUUCCAUCUUUGAUUCGGUCAUUCAGUGAGACAGAGUUGCUUGGCAGUGAUUUUGUGUUUGUGAUCUUGUACGUGUUUUGGAUGGCUUUGGGUUUGUGAUUAUUCGAUAAUAUUUUUCAUUUGAUGAAAGCUUGUCAAUUUCAGUCGAAGAUUAUGAUGGAUAAAGGGAAAAGUAGCACAACAACCAUACUUAAACAGAGCAACAACAAACAUGAAACGAAGAACACAAUGCAGCAGGCUGUUUUCUCUGUCUUUUGUUUCUUCUCUUUUGUGUAUCUGUAUAAUGGCUUUCUUGCUGGGGAUAAUAGGUGCAGUGGAUUGGAUGAUCCCCUCCGCAACCAGGCGUGGUGUGUGUGAUGUAGCUAGCCGGAGUGUGUGAAGUGAAUUAGGAAUAAAAAACCGAAAAUCUCCUUCGGUCGUUACGGGUUUUUCCUCAAGUAGUGGUCAGGGGAAAGAAAAUUACUCAUGUGCCUCUUUUCUUUUUUUAUUAUUAUUUUUUUUUUUAUUUUUUUUUCAAAAAGAAUAUAAAAAAUCAACUCAAAUCAGAUAAAAAACUAAACUAAAUCAAAGUAAAAUAAAAAUAAUAAAACAAAAUAAAAUAAAAUAAAAAAUAGGAGAGAGAAAAAAAAGUGUCAGGAAUACAGAGGAGAGGAGAGAGAAGAAAAGUUAACGCCGUUAGCAUCUACUUAACGGAAGGGACCGAUUGCACUCAAAAUUGAAAACAUGGGAACCAAAGGGCUUCAUUUUUGAAACUGGGGACAAAACGAAAAUUCUGAUUCGAACUUGGGAACUAAAAAGGUAUUUUAACCCUAUAAAACAAUUAUAUUAUUGUAAAAUUUAAAAAGUAAGAAAUAUGGAAAUUAAAAUGACCUGUAAAUUUGACAUGGCAGGGCAGUUUUAAAAAGUUUGGUAAUUGUGAUUAAAAGAUGAUUUAGAGACUAACUAUAAAGAGAGUGCUCCAAAGAAGAAUUCAUAGUGAUUAAGUCAAAAAUUGAAAAUGAUU